rnacentral:rRNA from 1 species
GGGAAUAUUGGUCAAUGGAUGCAAGUCUGAACCAGCCAUGCCGCGUGCAGGAAGAAGGCCUUCUGGGUUGUAAACUGCUUUUACCAGGGGAUAAAAAUCUCAUGCGUGAGAAAUUGAAGGUACCUGGUGAAUAAGCCACGGCUAACUACGUGCCAGCAGCCGCGGUAAUACGUAGGUGGCAAGCGUUGUCCGGAUUUACUGGGCGUAAAGCGCGCGCAGGCGGACUGAUCAGUCUGGGGUGAAAUCUCCCGGCUCAACUGGGAGCGGUCCCUGGAUACUGUCAGUCUCGAGAGACCUAGAGGAGAGCGGAAUUCCCGGUGUAGUGGUGGAAUGCGUAGAUAUCGGGAAGAACACCAGUGGCGAAAGCGGCUCUCUGGGGGUUUUCUGACGCUGAGGCGCGAAAGCGUGGGGAGCGAA